CCUUUCUCAUAUUUAACUCUGUCGGCAGGCUUAACACAUGCAAGUCGAGCGGGGGAGGUUGCUUCGGUAACUGACCUAGCGGCGGACGGGUGAGUAAUACUUAGGAAUCUGCCUAUUAAUGGGGGACAACAUCUCGAAAGGGAUGCUAAUACCGCAUACGCCCUACGGGGGAAAGCAGGGGAUCACUUGUGACCUUGCGUUAAUAGAUGAGCCUAAGUCGGAUUAGCUAGUUGGUGGGGUAAAGGCCUACCAAGGCGACGAUCUGUAGCGGGUCUGAGAGGAUGAUCCGCCACACUGGGACUGAGACACGGCCCAGACUCCUACGG
rnacentral:rRNA from 1 species